rnacentral:rRNA from 1 species
CCUACGGGUGACAGCAGUGAGGAAUAUUGGUCAAUGGACGAGACUCUGAACCAGCCACGUAGCGUGAAGGAUGACUGCCCUAUGGGUUGUAAACUUCUUUUAUAAAGGAAUAAAACGCGGCACGUGUGCCUUUUUGCAUGUCCUUUAUGAAUAAGGAUCGGCCAACUCCGUGCCAGCAGCCGCGGUAAUACGGAGGGUCCGAGCGUUAUCCGGAUUUAUUGGGUUUAAAGGGAGCGUAGUUGGGUUGUUAAGUCAGGUGUGAAAGUUUGCGGCUCAACCGUAAAAUUGCAAUUGAUACUGGCAGUCUGGAGUACAGGUGAGGUAGGCGGAAUUCGUGGUGUAGCGGUGAAAUGCUUAGAUAUCACGAAGAAACCCGAUUGCGAAGGCAGCCUACUAAACUGUGACUGACAUUGAUGCUCGAAAGUGUGGGGAUCAAACAGGAUUAGAUACCCGGGUAGUC